rnacentral:rRNA from 1 species
UGGGGAAUAUUGCACAAUGGGGGAAACCCUGAUGCAGCAACGCCGCGUGAGUGAAGAAGUAUUUCGGUAUGUAAAGCUCUAUCAGCAGGGAAGAAAUUGACAGUACCUGACUAAGAAGCCCCGGCUAACUACGUGCCAGCAGCCGCGGUAAUACGUAGGGGGCAAGCGUUAUCCGGAUUUACUGGGUGUAAAGGGAGCGUAGACGGUUAUGCAAGUCAGAAGUGAAAGCCCAAAGCUCAACUUCGGGACUGCUUUUGAAACUGUGUAACUAGAGUGCAGGAGGGGUAAGCGGAAUUCCUAGUG